UACGGAGGGUGCGAGCGUUGUCCGGAAUCACUGGGCGUAAAGGGCGCGUAGGCGGCCUGAUAAGUAGGGGGUGAAAUCCUGCGGCUUAACCGCAGGGCUGCCUUCUAAACUGUCGGGCUAGAGCACGGUAGAGGCAGAUGGAAUUCCUGGUGUAGCGGUGAAAUGCGCAGAUAUCAGGAAGAACACCCGUGGCUAAGGCGGCUCUCUAGUACGGUACUGACGCUGAGACGCGAAAGCGUGGGGAGCGAACAGG
rnacentral:rRNA from 1 species